rnacentral:rRNA from 1 species
GACGAACGCUGGCGGCAUGCCUAAUACAUGCAAGUCGAGCGAACAGAUGAAGUGCUUGCACUUCUGACGUUAGCGGCGAACGGGUGAGUAACACGUAAGGAAUCUACCUAUAAGCGGGGGAUAACAUUCGGAAACGGGUGCUAAUACCGCAUAAUAUCUUCUUCCGCAUGGAAGAAGAUUGAAAGACGGCUCUGCUGUCACUUAUAGAUGACCUUGCGGUGCCUUAGUUAGUUGGUGGGGUAACGGCCUACCAAGACGAUGAUGCAUAGCCGACCUGAGAGGGUGGUCGGCCACAUUGGGACUGAGACACGGCCCAAACUCCUACGGGAGGCAGCAGUAGGGAAUCUUCCGCAAUGGGCGAAAGCCUGACGGAGCAAUGCCGCGUGAGUGAAGAAGGCCUUCGGGUCGUAAAACUCUGUUAUAAGAGAAGAACAAAUUGUAGAGUAACUGCUACAGUCUUGACGGUAUCUUAUCAGAAGGCCACGGCUAACUACGUGCCAGCCGCCGCGGUAA